rnacentral:rRNA from 1 species
ACAACUUUCAACAAUGGAUCUCUUGGCUCUUGCAUCGAUGAAGAACGCAGCGWAAUGCGAUAAGUAAUGUGAAUUGCAGAAUUCAGUGAAUCAUCGAAUAUUUGAACGCAUCUUGCACUCCUUGGUAUUCUGAGGAGUAUGCCUGUUUGAGUGUCAUUU